rnacentral:rRNA from 1 species
AUUGAACGCUGGCGGCAGGCCUAACACAUGCAAGUCGAACGAGUGGCGGACGGGUGAGUAAUGUCUGGGAAACUGCCUGAUGGAGGGGGAUAACUACUGGAAACGGUAGCUAAUACCGCAUACAAUAAGAUUGGCCCAGAUGGGAUUAGCUGGUUGGUGGGGUACCGGCUCACCAAGGGGACGAUCCCUAGCCGACCUGAGAGGGUGAUCGGCCACACUGGGACUGAGACACGGUCCAGACUCCUACGGGAGGCAGCAGUGGGGAAUAUUGCACAAUGGGCGCAAGCCUGAUGCAGCCAUGCCGCGUGUAUGAAGAAGGCCUUCGGGUUGUAAAGUACUUUCAGCGGGGAGGCGUUACCCGCAGAAGAAGCACCGGCUAACUCCGUGCCAGCCGCCGCGGUAAUAC